rnacentral:rRNA from 1 species
UGAGUAACACGUGGGCAACCUGCCCUUCGCAGGGGGAUAACCGGAGGAAACUCCGGCUAAUACCCCGUAAGCUUUCAGGNUCGCAUGGCCCUGUAAGGAAAGGUAGCUUCGGCCAUCCGGCGAGGGAUGGGCCCGCGGUGCAUUAGCUAGUUGGUGGGGUAACGGCCCACCAAGGCGACGAUGCGUAGCUGGUCUGAGAGGAUGAUCAGCCACACUGGGACUGAGACACGGCCCAGACUCCUACGGGAGGCAGCAGCCAGGAAUNUUGGGCAAUGGGCGAAAGCCUGACCCAGCAACACCGUGUGGGCGAUGAAGGCCUUCGGGUNGUAAAGCCCUGUUGAUAGGGACGAAGGGCGAAGGGUUAAUAGCCCCUAGCCUGACGGUACCUUUCGAGGAAGCCCCGGCUAAUUACGUGCCAGCAGCCGCGGUAAUACGUAGGGGGCGAGCGUUGUCCGGAAUUAUUGGGCGUAAAGAGCGUGUAGGGGUUCGGUAANUCUGCCGUGAAAACNUGAGGNUCAACUUCGGGCGUGCGGUGGAUACUGCCGGGCUAGAGGACGGUAGAGGCGAGUGGAAUUCCCGGUGUAGCGGUGAAAUGCGCAGAUAUCGGGAGGAACACCAGUAGCGAAGGCGGNUCGNUGGNCCGUUCCUGACGCUGAGACGCGAAAGCUAGGGGAGCGAACAGGAUUAGAUACCCUGGUAGUCCUANCCGUAAACGAUGGACACUAGGUGUGGGGGGAGUCGAAUCCCUCUGUGCCGCAGUUAACGNGUUAAUGUCCC